GAUUCGAUCGGCCGGCCGCCGGAAUAAGGAUUCUCAGAGUGAUUGUUUGAAGAGAUGGGUGGCGAAUCGAAUUACGAGAUUCAUCAAAACGCCUACAUCAAGUUAAUCCUUCAUGCCCUUAAGCACAAGACUUCCUCCGUCAAUGGUGUUCUUCUUGGUAGAAUAUCCGGCAACGGCGACAACGUCGAAAUUGUCGAAUCUGUUCCGUUGUUCCACUCUCAGAUUGGUUUACUUCCACCACUCGAAAUUUCACUUAUCAUGAUUGAGGAGUACUAUGCUGAUAAAGGUUUGAGUAUUGUGGGUUAUUUUCACGCAAAUGAAAGAUCCGAUGAUUUUGAGGUCGGAAAUGUGGCCAAGAAUAUUGGUGAUCAUAUCUACAAAUAUUUCCCUCAAGCUGCUUUACUUCUGAUGGAUAACAAGAAGCUUGAAGCUUUACUGAAGGAGGGCAAAGACAGGAGUCCUGUUAUGCAGCUUUACACUAAGGAAUCAUCUAGGAGCUGGAAACUAGCGGGAGCUGAUGCAAGCGGCUCUCUGAAAAUCAAAGAACCAUCUGCAAAUAUUGUUCUUCUAGACUAUGUCUCAUCAGGGAAAUGGAAGGACAUCGUGGAUUUCGAUGACCAUCUGGAUGACAUUAGCAAGGACUGGCUGAAUCCAGAACUCUUCAAGUGAGAUGUCUACAGAGAGGAUGACACAAUUAUCCUGUUGUUACCGCGUGUGAUAUUUGGUGUUUAUCCCUCCCGCGUAGUUGCUGAGUUUAUGAAGAAACAAUCUAAUGACUCUGAAUUUGCAGACUGUUGAAGAUUACCAAUUACCUAAUGGCUUUUGAAUAUUGUUAGAAGAUAGGGUUCAUAUCAUUGCAUAAUUACGCGUUUCUAAUAGGUCAAACAUGAAUUUUUUGAGCAACACAACUCAAUUUUGUACUGAAUGGGGAACCAUGAGUUUUUAUUUUUAAACUAAAUUAUUU
rnacentral:misc_RNA from 1 species